AGUGAACGCUGGCGGUAGGCCUAACACAUGCAAGUCGAACGGCCGCACAGUAAGAGCUUGCUCUUACGGGUGGCGAGUGGCGGACGGGUGAGGCAUACAUCGGAAUCUACUUUUUCGUGGGGGAUAACGUAGGGAAACUUACGCUAAUACCGCAUACGAUCUACGGGUGAAAGCAGGGGAUCUUCGGACCUUGCGUGUCUGAAUGAGCCGAUGUCGGAUUAGCUAGUUGGCGGGGUAAAGUCCCACCAAGGCGACGAUCCGUAGCUGGUCUGAGAGGAUGAUCGGCCACACUGGAACUGAGACACGGUCCAGACUCCUACGGGAGGCAGCAGUGGGGAAUAUUGGGCAAUGGGCGCAAGCCUGAUCCAGCCAUACCGCGUGAGUGAAGAAGGCCUUCGGAUUGUAAAGCCCUUUUGUUGGGAAAGAAAAGCAGCAGGUGAAUACCCCGCUGUUCUGACGGUACCCAAAGAAUAAGCAACGGCUAACUUCGUG
rnacentral:rRNA from 1 species